rnacentral:rRNA from 1 species
CAAAGGUUUGGUCCCAGCCUUGUCAUCAACUUUAUCUGAA